UACGGGGGGGGGCAAGCGUUGUUCGGAAUUACUGGGCGUAAAGGGCUCGUAGGCGGCCAACUAAGUCGGACGUGAAUUCCCUCGGCUUAACCGGGGAACUGCGUCCGAUACUGGAUGGCUUGAGUUCGGGAGAGGGAUGCGGAAUUCCAGGUGUAGCGGUGAAAUGCGUAGAUAUCUGGAGGAACACCGGUGGCGAAGGCGGCAUCCUGGACCGAUACUGACGCUGAUGAGCGAAAGCCAGGGGAGCAAACGGG
rnacentral:rRNA from 1 species